AUUGAACGCUGGCGGCAGGCCUAACACAUGCAAGUCGAGCGAGCGGCGGACGGGUGAGUAAUGUCUGGGAAACUGCCUGAUGGAGGGGGAUAACUACUGGAAACGGUAGCUAAUACCGCAUACCAUCAGAUGUGCCCAGAUGGGGUUAGCUGGUAGGUGGGGUAACGGCUCACAUAGGGGACGAUCCCUAGAUGGUCUGAGAGGAUGACCAGCCACGCUGGAACUGGGACACGGGCCAUACUCCUACGGGGGGCAGCAGUGGGUAAUAUUGCACAAUGGGCGCAAGCCUGAUGCAGCCAUGCCGCGUGUGUGAAGAAGGCCUUCGGGUUGUAAAGCACUUUCAGCGGGGAGGCGUUACCCGCAGAAGAAGCACCGGCUAACUCCGUGCCAGCAGCCGCGGUAAUUC
rnacentral:rRNA from 1 species